GACGAACGCUGGCGGCGUGCUUAACACAUGCAAGUCGAACGGAAAGGCCCUGCUUGCAGGGUACUCGAGUGGCGAACGGGUGAGUAACACGUGGGUGAUCUGCCCUGCACUUCGGGAUAAGCCUGGGAAACUGGGUCUAAUACCGGAUAGGAGCCAUUUUUAGUGUGAUGGUUGGAAAGUUUUUUCGGUGUAGGAUGAGCUCGCGGCCUAUCAGCUUGUUGGUGGGGUAAUGGCCUACCAAGGCGGCGACGGGUAGCCGGCCUGAGAGGGUGGACGGCCACAUUUGGACUGUGAGACGGCCCAGACGCCUACGGGAGGCAGCAGUGGGGAAUGUUGCGCAAUGGGCGCAAGCCUGAUGGAGCGACGCCGCGUGGGGGAUGACGGCCUUCGGGUUGUAAACUCCUUUCGCUAGGGACGAAGCUUUUUGUGACGGUACCUAGAUAAGAAGCACCGGCUAACUACGUG
rnacentral:rRNA from 1 species